CGGCAACAGCUCAAAUUUGAAAUCUGGCCCUCCCGGGGGCCCGAGUUGUACUUUGCAGAGGGUGCUUUGGCGUCGGUGGCAGUCUAAGUUCCUUGGAACAGGACAUCGCAGAGGGUGAGAAUCCCGUAUGUGGCCGCCAGCCUUCGCCGUGUAAAGCCCCUUCGAC
rnacentral:rRNA from 1 species